rnacentral:lncRNA from 1 species
UUUUUGAAAUCUUUCAAUAGAUCUAUAAUAACCAGUGUUUGAAAUUUCUUCGUUGUUGUCGAUAUUUCUGUGGAAAGAUCUAAAAAAUCAGAAAAGAUAUGGAAAUGGGAGUGAACUCUCUUAAGAUUAGACUAAAAUCGACAGAUUUCAUCGAUAUUUUUGACAUAUUGGUUAAAUAUCCAAGAAGCUUUUAUAUUUCUUCCAAACCAGUGUUUCACGUUCCUUAAAGUUUCAAUUUUAAAUUUCCACCAUUUCCACCAAAAGUAACCGAUAUCGAUAUUCGAUAUAGUAGUCGAUAUUUCCAUAAAUUUGUAGAUCGAUAUUUUCAUGGAUACUGAUGUCGAUGCAAAUUUCCGCCAUCUUUAGUCUUGACAAAAAUGCACCUACAAAAUAAUCAACACCUUUGAUCAAAGGCCUAAGCCUCAUGCGUCCACGAGGUGGGGGAGGGGGGGGGUUAGGCCUAUGGAUCUCCUACACCUAAGUUAGUUUAUUUGAAAAGAGUAAGUGUUUGGGGGUUUUAGGGGUAGCGAAAGCUUACUGAAAUUUGGUACAGAUGGAAGUAUUUAUAGGAGGAGGGGCCGACCAUGGUGUUAGGGUUUUACCCUAUACAUGGUGGCAUCCUAUUGGCCAAGGUUUAUGGAGAGAAUAUUCUCAAGAUAUUAAAUAGGAAAUGAUAUCUUGAGAUAAUCGUGUAAAUAUCCCUAAUUAAUUUAAAUAGACAUUACUUACUUGAAUGGAGUUAAUCUUCAAAUGGGAAUGUAUUAAGGAUAGGAUUUGGUAAUUAAUCCUUAUCUUUAGUGCCUUGACUUUUCCUUGCCAUGGGCAAGUGAGCUAUGGGCGGUCGUAUUUAGCUGUUUGGACAUUCAAGGGUGCUGAGCUGCUCGUGGGAGUAUAUGAGAAGUUUGCCCAUUUAAUGAGGGCAAUCUUGUCUUUCUUGAGCAAAAGUCCACGUGUUGCAUCUAAGAUUUUUGGGAUUAUUUUAGGCUCCACAAAUGCCCCCACACUUGCUGGGUUGUAUGUAGGAUAAAAAGGCAGCAUGUGUAGAAGUCCCAAGUUGUAUGGGUGUGUAGAGUUGUUUCCCAAUUGGAUAUAGAUCUCCUUCUUUGACUUGGAGAUAGACUUUUCGAGGAUAAGGAAACCAAUUGCCCACAAUACCUAUUUAAUUCUGCCUUAAGCAGAGGAUUAAAUAAAUUUGGAGAACAAUCUUCAUUCCAACAAGGAAGAAAGAUACUAGAGGAAAUUUGUUCCCCCUCCCUUAACUCUCUUCUUCUCUUGCCCUUGCAAAAAGUCAUUUCUCAUUGUUGUUCUUCUUCUAUGCGCCGCACUAAGGUACGAAAAAGGUAAUUUUCUUUGUCUUCUUGGGUCAUGCUGCUGCGAGGCAGUUGUUGAGAUGGUGUGGGACGUCUGUUGGCAAGGGCCAGGGGGCGAGCAGGUGGUGUGGCAAGGGCUAUGGCUUGGAUUGUUCAGCUCCACUGGAGCUAAAGGCAACUGUACAGCUUGGGCUGCGACUUAAGGUGAUGGGGCACAAUGUAGAGCGAAUAAUGAGGUUCGAGCUCCUUUUAGGGGUCUGAAUUUGACAUAGGCCAGUUAGGCAUACCGAGUGGUGUAGAGCAACUAAGCUCUUGUCAUAGGUUGCUUGAUGCCUCAAUCAAAGGUGAUCAUGAAUGGGUGAGGUGAAUGACGUGUUAGGAAUGAAGCUGGGAGAGUUGCGAGGCUUUAGCCUUUCUAGAUUUGGGCUUAGCGUGGGCUAAGUAUGACGAGGCAUGCUCGGGCCUAAGGGAGAGAGAGAAAGAUGCGUGGGGUGCCAUCUUUCUUGCUCGUGACUUGGGCCACAUACUAGGUUUCUUAGGUUAAGAAUUGCUUGGCUGGGGCCACAAUUUGGGCCCCAGGCGCUGUGCUUGCCAAGCUGAGCACGUGUCUGUGCCACUAAGGAGAAAAAGAUGUGGACUAAUGCCCAUAUGAGUCUGGCAUCAAUUGCAGAGAAAAGGGGACUAGGUUGUGAGGCUUGUCAUAUACUGCUGAAAAAGCUUGUCAUUGAUCUGACUUCUUUCAAGAAGAAGGAAAAGACUAUUGAGUCCGAGCCUGUGAAACUUGCUGUUUUGAAUGUGACCAUUGUUGAGAGAAUUGCUUAGUGAAAGGGUUCAGUGGUGCUCUAGUGUCUAGGUUUGAUCGAAGUGUGUGUCUAGAGCUAAGUUCGGUUCGGCUUCUGAAAGGCUUACCGCUAUGAAGAGCAGGAAGGUGGAAUCUGAUGCUAAAGUGGCUCAUGGGCUUGUUCCUCUUUCUACCAUGACUGAUUCGUUUGCUGAGAAAGGGAAGUCUACUUUUAUGGGCAGUAGUGAGAAGUCUACCGAGUUAGGCUCUGAGGAAUUUCUUGAGGUUUAUGCACUGCUGAAAGAUGACCUGCUUGAGGACAUCGAUGCAUGCGCCAAGUUUCUUGAUAGUGUUGGGAAUUUGAUCUACUCAGACUCUUUUGUGAAGCGUCAUGCCUACUUAAGGAGGUCAUUCUUGCUUGCAACUAUGCAGAAAACUUUGAUCCUGGUAAUUGAGUAUAUGUGCAUUGAUCAAGAUGCUGUUGAGGAUGCUAAGGAGGUUGAAAGGGGUUUGAUGUCUCUACCCUCGCUUCUGUGUAGUUGGAGACCGUUCAUUUAGAGGUCGUCAAUUUGAAGGCUAAGCUUAGUGCGACUCAGCUGAUGUUGGAAACUGCAGAGAAGGAAGUCAGUUAUGUUGCACCGUGGCCCAUGACCUUAAGCGUGUAAAUUUGGAGCUACAAUCUGCUUGUUUUUCCAAGAGCGAUGAGCUUAUCUUCAUGCAUGAAGUGCUCGUUUCAAGGAUAUUGCCAGUAAGCUUGAGUCCAAGGAAGUGGAUCUACAAAGUUCGCUGUUUGCUAGCAAGAACCUGAAGAAGGAAUUGGAUAAGCUGUAUGAUGCUCACACUAGGCUUGUUGGGGAGAAUGCCUGGCUGAAGAAUGAGAGGGUUGGUCAUGAAGUGGAGCUUGCUCCUUAUUAAGUCGAUUUCUCCAAGCUUGGCUAUGUAGACCAUCUUUAGGGUAAGCCGUUGCCUUAUGAGUUUCCUGAGAAGAACUUCGAGACUUACUCCAUUUCUCUAGUUGAUUUGCUUAACUUCUCGUUUGAGGCUACCUUUGGUGGAGCAACUGAGGGUCAUUCUGUCCAGGCAGGGGUGACUGAAGAUGAGAUGAUGGAAGCUUUGGCUACUGAGAGCGGUGUGGCUGCUGAAGGCGUGGCAGUUGAGGAACCAGUGGUUGCACAUGCAGGCUGCCGAUGAGUAGUCUUUUUUCUUAGACUUAUGAAUUUUCUUCUUUUCCUUUUCGUUCUGCUUUAUUUGAACUUUAUUGGCCUUCGAGCCAGUUUAUCAAUUUGCUAGAAAUUUAAUAAACUACUUUCUUUGCUUUGCUUCAUCCUAGCUAUUUCGCCAUGUCUUUUGCAAAACUUUACCGUAGGGCAACCGGGUGAGCUGCUUCGGCGAAGCAUGGUCACUUUAGGUUUUAGUUUUGGCUUUGAGGCUUCGAGACUUAGGGAGCCUUGCCUAAUCGAGGCGCUUGCAAAACUUUGCCAUAGGACGGGUGCUGAGUUGGCUACUUUGAUGAAAGAUGAAAAUGUACCUGCAAAACAAUCAACACCUUUGAUCCAAGACCUAAGCCUCACUCACCGAAGAAGCCGAGGGGGGGGUGUUAGGCCUAUGGAUUUCUAACGCCUAAGUUAGUUUCUAUGAAAAGAGUAAGUGUUUAUGGCUUUUGAGGGUAGCAAAAGCUUUUGUAGAGAUAGAGGUAUUUAUAGGAGGAGAAGCUAGCCAUGGUGUUACAGUUUAACCCUACAUAUAGAGGCAUCCUAUUGGCCAAGGUGUAUGGAGAUAAUAUUCUUAAGAUAUUAAAUAGGAAAUAAUAUCUUAAGAUAUUGGUGCAAAUAUCCCUAAUAUCUUGAAAUAAUAUCUUUAAAUAGGAAUGUAUUAAAGAUAGGAUCUGUGUACUUAAUCUUUAUCUUUAAUGCUUUGACUUUUCCUUGCCAUGGGCAGGUGAGCUGUGGGUAAUCGUAUUUAGCUGUUUGGACCUUCAGGGGUGCUGAGCUGCGCGUGGGAGUAUCUGAGAAGUCUGCCUAUUUAAUGAGGGCAAUCUUGUCUUUCUUGAGUAAAAGUUCACAUGUCAUCUCUAAGAUUUUUAGGAUUAUAUAGGCUCCACAACCAAUAUUUUAAACACUGAUGGUAAUUGGUUCAUAUGCACCUAGAUAGACACCAAUCAUUUUUACAACUGAACCUAUGUUUUAACUUGUCCUUUAGUGAUUCACCAAGGGACAUCAAAUUUUGUCUCCUACAUAACACACUUAAGCCAUCGCACCCCAUAAACUACACCAAGAUUCUACAUCCCCAGUUGUUUGUAUAGCAUGCAAACAUUUCAAAAUAAAGAACAAUUGAACCAAAGAAAACGAAGCUCAUCUAAAACAGUCUUUGGGCCCAAAGUACAAGUUGGGUAAGUACAACGUGCUCUAGUCAAAGACAAUAGUAGCCCAAUUGAGUCCUUAUACUAAAGGACUGUAAAGAGAUUACAUUUUGAGCAAGGUUCAGCCGAGUCCCAAAAAGACUAAAGCUGUUAUAGAUUGGCGGUCGAUUAUGAUAAGUUGGGGUUGUUCAAAGGAUCAGAAUUCAUGCUUAAUCAGAUGACAAGAACUUAAGUCUAGGUUCAAAAUCCUGAUUCAAAUGGGAAGCCAAGACUGGAUCAGGGUUAAGUUUCAGUUAAGAAAAGAUAGGUUGGAAUGUUUUCGGAAAUGCCGAGGAGGCUCAGUCCUAUCAAGACUCUACCUCGGCAAACCUGCUCAUCCUUAAGGCCUUGCCUAUUGUUGACAAAAUUAGAUUAACCAAAAUCAACCCAAUUAAGUUCAAAUUUUAAUGCUUGCAAGUGUAUGAAUUGUAUUAUAAUGUAAUAAGCAAGCACAAGAUUGUUCCAACUAAGAUUGAUAUAAUUCUAACUAGCAUUUGCCUACACACUUUGUGUAUAUGAACACAUUUUGUUAGAAAAUGAGAAGGAGAGAGGGGGGAGUGAGAGGUUUUUGUUUUUGGUUUUUUUUUUAAUUUUUAAUUUUAAAUAUUAGAGAUAUUUUAAUCACCUGUAGGUGAGGCUUCAAUAAAAAGCAGUAAAAUUUGAACCUGUGAAAUUACAUUAUUGCCCAUCUUUAUUUUGUGUGAUAGAAGACUAAGUUGUCUUUUUACCCUCUUUUGGUUGACAAAGAGGGUUUUAUUAAUUAGUAUAGAUUAUCUAACUUAAUUUAAAUUACACUUGAAUUUCCCAUUGAAAUUGAACGAUUGAUGAUUAGAGAAACAUUUAUGAAAUUGUAAUUGUAAAUAAAAAGGAAAUGAGAUUAACAAGUGAUUGAGAAUGACGAACAACUAGAAAAAAAAUUAUAAUUCGAUUGUGAAGGGCACUAGAGUAUCUGAUUCACCAUAACCAAUCAAACUCAAUUCCACAGUUUAUUAUUAAUGAAUAAGCAUCCAACUUGACGGUUUAGUUCCUCUAAUUCAUGUAGUAUCUAUGACAUCCAGACUACUAAGUAUACUCAUAUAGGCUAACAAUCUAUGACAUCUAGAUUAAUAAACACAUACGAGUUCAUUAACGAUUUAGGAACAUAUGAGUUCAUUAAUGAUUUAGGAACUAAGGGGCCGCAUGUAACAUCCCACAUCGCCCAGGGGAGUGAUCCUUAAAUGUAUAUUCUCAUCCCUACCUAACACGAGGCCUUUUGGGAGCUCACUGGUUUCGGGUUUCAUACGAACUCCGAAGUUAAGCGAGAAGGAGGUCAGAGCACUCCUAGGAUGGGUGACCCACUGGAAAGUUGCUCGUGAGUUCCCAAAAACAAAACCGUGAGGGAAUGGUAAGCCCAAAGCGGACAAUAUUGUGCUAUGGUGGUGGAGCGGGCCCGGAAAGUGAUCCGCCCCGGGCCGGGAUGUGACACCUCAUGAAACCUAGUGUAUGACAUUUAAAUCAAGUAAUUCACGGUAUCAUUUGCAUGAUGCUAAAACCGAAUUAACAACAUGACAAUUGUAAUAAUUAUCAUCAAAUACACUCAAUGCUAAAACCGAAUUAACAACAUGACAAUUGUAAUAAUUAUCAUCAAAUACACUCAAUUUCAACCAAAGUGGUGGCCAAUCACCAAGAUCAAAACUAAACACAUAAGCACAGUAAAAUGAUACUCAAAGUGAAUGAAAUUACAAUAAUAAAUAAACUAAGAAAUGAAGCACUCAUCGCUAGGCAACUUCGUAGCCCUAACGAAAAGAAAUUAGUUUUGAAACAUAAGCGGAAAUAUUAUUGAAUUCAUAAAAUUAAGAAGAAAAUUAAAUUCAGAAAAACUCCUGAAAAGUCCCCUUGCUCUCUGCCGCACCAAGCUUGUUGUAACCUUGUGAAAGUAGUGCGUCUGGUGGGUGGCUUUGUAUUCUCCAAUAAAUGAUCAUCUUCCUUCUUCUUAUUUGUCUUCUCUUUCAUUUCUCCAGCAGCCUAAUUAUUGAUAGAAUAAUGCCAAAACAAACUCCAGCUGUUUUAUUUUGUUUCUUUGUCUUCCCCCUUUGUUCUUCCUUGUAUCCUUUUCCCUAACCGACGAAAACUUAACGCAAAUUUAUUACUAACAGCAAACGAAAAGAGGAGUAUUGAAUUCCUUGAUAGCCACUUUGUGCAUUUACACACCAUCAUUGAUUUCUCAAUGAAGAAAUGCAUACUUUUGUGCCUCUUGGGUUUACUCGCUGCAGCAUAUCGUCCCAAUUAACUUCUUCGACUCUCCAUUUGAUUUGCAGCGGACUCUGGAAAUGAUUAAUCUCCACUGAAAUUAAUGAAAUGAAAAGCCACAGAUGCCUGAUUCAUGCUCUCGUUGAAAACCCAUGAAUUGAAGAUGAGAUUGGAAAGUUGAUUCUCCAUCCUUCUAUUUGACAAAGUAUGUCGGCUGUGCCUGGGAAAUGGGAGAGAGAAAAGCAAGACUUUGGUUUCUUUGUCUGUUCAAAUGCAGGACAAAGAUUAAGCCCCUUGUGAGAGUUGUAAAAGUCACGUGCUAGAUCAUCACAAUUUUAUUCCAUUGAGUAACCUACAAAGAGAUUUGUGUUGCCAUGAGUAGGGAUGAUAAUUCUAACCGUUAAAAUCCGAUAACCGUGGUUAACGGACCGAAUGGAACAGAUUUGGGUAUGAAAGUUUGGAUAUAAUUUGAAUACGAGGAAAAACGGUUUAUAUUAUUCGGUUAUGAUUUUGGAUAUGGUUAUAGGGGUUCCUAAACCA